UACGAAGGUGGCAAGCGUUGUUCGGAUUUACUGGGCGUACAGGGAGCGUAGGCGGUUGGAUAAGCCCUCCGUGAAAUCUCCAGGCUUAACCUGGAAAGUGCAGAGGGGACUGUUCGAGCUAGAGGAUGGGAGAGGAGCGCGGAAUUCCCGGUGUAGCGGUGAAAUGCGUAGAGAUCGGGAGGAAGGCCGGUGGCGAAGGCGGCGCUCUGGAACAUUUCUGACGCUGAGCUCGAAAGCGUGGGGAGCAAACAGG
rnacentral:rRNA from 1 species